UACGAAGGGGGCGAGCGUUGUUCGGAAUUACUGGGCGUAAAGGGCGCGUAGGCGGCCGAUCAAGUCAGAUGUGAAAGUCCUGGGCUUAACCUGGGGACUGCAUUUGAUACUGAUUGGCUUGAAUUCGGGAGAGGAUAGCGGAAUUCCCAGUGUAGAGGUGAAAUUCGUAGAUAUUGGGAAGAACACCGGUGGCGAAGGCGGCUAUCUAGACCGACAUUGACGCUGAGGCGCGAAAGCGUGGGGAGCAAACAGG
rnacentral:rRNA from 1 species